AUUUAGCUGACGAGUCCCAAAUAAGACGAAACGAUCGUCUUGGAU
rfam:Schistosoma rodhaini strain Burundi genome assembly, scaffold: SROB_scaffold0007070